CCUACGGGGCGCAGCAGUAGGGAAUAUUGCUCAAUGGGGGAAACCCUGAAGCAGCAACGCCGCGUGGAGGAUGAAGGUUUUCGGAUUGUAAACUCCUUUUGUUAGAGAAGAUAAUGACGGUAUCUAACGAAUAAGCACCGGCUAACUCCGUGCCAGCAGCCGCGGUAAUACGGAGGGUGCAAGCGUUACUCGGAAUCACUGGGCGUAAAGAGCGCGUAGGCGGGAUAGCAAGUCAGAUGUGAAAUCCUAUGGCUUAACCAUAGAACUGCAUUUGAAACUGCAGGACUUGAGUGGAGUAGAGGUAG
rnacentral:rRNA from 1 species